rnacentral:lncRNA from 1 species
GUGGCUCACCUCAAUUCCCUUUUAAAACGAUAUUCAAACUAAAAUUCGAAGAGUCAUAGACUAAUUGUUUUAUUUAGCACAGCACUCCUCAAAUUAUUAAAACUAACAUGGUAAAUAUCAGUCCAAAACCAACGAACAAAUUGAGUCCAGUCUUAAACUUUUACAAACCUAUACUAACAAUUAGUAUAUAUUAUUGUAAUAGCCCUACUGAAUCGUUUGAGUAAUUUGGUUCACGAGAAUCGAGCAACUCAUCUUCACAACUUGUCCAGUUAGCCAUAAUCACGUCUAAUAUGCCAAAUCAUUCUGAAAAAACCAAAGCACCAUAAUCACGGUACAAACCAAAAGAAUCCAAGCCAAAAUUCCAAAUUGUUUCAACAACUAAUUUUAAAGCAACACCUCUGUAUUAUUUGCAUACGUGAAUACGCGAAAAAACAAGUUCAAGUAACUUUGACAUAACCAAAGCAAGCUAGGAGUUCAAUGGCUAACGACGAAAAUAUUAAAAAAAAAAGAAGGUAAAUUCGGACCUCAUGUAUAGAUGAUUGUGUAAGCUGACCUUAAAUUGGAUGCACAACUAGAAGAGAAAUUUUUAUCUUACUAUGACAAUGAUUGGCGUAAGUACUACCAAACUUAAGCUUGUGAAAUUAAAUUACAAUAAUCAAAACUGACGCCAUCGAAACUCUUUUGGUGGAUUACUUAACUCAUGUCUAAUAUGGUCGAUUUCAUGGAACAACACAAGUUUGUGAAAUUGAAAUCAAGCAAAGAAAAACAUAGCAAUCGAACUCAAGUAAGAUCCAUCCUACAAAUUCAGAAGCAAUUCCAAUCAAUUCAUCAAUAUACUUGAACAAGAGUAUAGAAGAUUCAAUGUGCACCUUAAAAGUAGGAUAAACGGAGAAAACAAUAUGCCUCUCAAUACAACUUCAAAACAAACGGAUAGCAUAUUAGGACCAAAUUGGACCAGAAAAUCUCAACAGCAAACUCGACGGCUAAUCUGGAGCUCAACCAUGAACUGAAUCAGCGAUGAAAAUCAACGGCAAUCAACAGAGUUUGAACCCGGAACAUUUUUAAUGAAAUUCCCUUUCGAAUCAUGUUCUUAUUUUUGUUCUUUUAUUUUAUUUUGAGCUUAUUGUGUUAUAGAUCUAGAAACCAUGGUAGCUCUAUUUGUUUUUUAAAAAUGAGAGAGCGGCGGGAAGUUAAGGAGCGUUUCUUAGAAGGAGGGAUCUCCAAUGUUAUUUGCAUGUUCUUCAGAGAAGGGGUUUCUCACAAUUUUGGUGUGUCAUCCUCUCUGUGAAUUUUUGUGUGUGUCUUUUUCAUUAGGUAGAGAAUAAUUUUAUAGAGUGUGUAGAAUGGGGUGUUAUGUGGGGGAGUUUUAUUUGGGGAGAAGGUGUAUGUCAG